rnacentral:miRNA from 1 species
GUAUGCCCAAUUAAGUUUGAACUUAAAGAACAAUUUUUUUCUUUUAGUAUCAGUACAUUUCAUGCAAUAUUUGGGAAAUACUUAUACUAAAACAUUAUCUGUGGUUUACCUGAAGUUCAUAUUUAACUGGGCAUC